rnacentral:tRNA from 1 species
GGAGAGGUACCGAAGCGGUCAUAACGGGGCGGUCUUGAAAACCGUUAGGGUGAAAGCCCACAUGGGUUCGAAUCCCAUCCUCUCCGCCA